CAUGCAGUCGAGCGGUACAGAUCUAUCUUGCUAGAUGCUGACGAGCGGCGGACGGGUGAGUAACGCGUAGAAAACUGCCCAGUAGUGGGGGAUAGCCCGGUGAAAACCGGAUUAAUACCGCAUACGCUCUACGGAGGAAAGGGGGCUUCGGCUCUCGCUAUUGGAUGUGUCUGCGUGGGAUUAGCUAGUUGGUGAGGUAAGGGCUCACCAAGGCGACGAUCUCUAGCUGGUCUGAGAGGAUGAUCCCCACACUGGAUUGAGUACGGUUAGACUCCUACGGGAGGCGCAUGGGGAAAUUGACAUGGCGCAAGCCUGAUGCACCAUGCCGCGUGUGUGAGAAGGUACGGGCGAAACAUUUCGUAGGAGGAAAAUUUAGUUAAU
rnacentral:rRNA from 1 species